rnacentral:lncRNA from 1 species
AUCCAGAUCUUCAGCGUGCAGAAGGAUCCAUGUCUAAAGCCCAGCACCACAAGGAGUGUGUAUGUAUAUCACAGGCUCCCUGAGUGCUUCUGGAAGUUGAAAGUUUAAAAUUUCAGUUUGAAGAGUUAUGAACUGAAGAGUUGGCAGGGACACUCGUAUUCAAAUAAAUGUACCAAGAAACAUUUUGGGGCAGACGAAGACUCGUUUGGAUUGUUUGUUCUGUGUCUCUUCUCUGUUAUUGCAGAUAAGCCAGAUAUACGGGGCUGUGUCUAGAGAACAGUUGCCAGGCUUGGAGACAACUCCAGGUGGCACUUGUUUGGAAGAGGCCGGAAGUAUUAGUUCAGAGACUAAACACAACAAUGCAGAAAUUCCUCUUAGAGAUUGGAGACUCAUGCAUAGGAAGGAGGACCUAGAUUGGCUUUGGUUGCUUUAGAGGAAUGGCUCCCACGUGUUGGUUUGUAAUCAGUAUUUUUCUGACAGCCUUGUUACAAGACUCCUUGUGCCUCUAAGAGUGAAUCCCAGGAGUUUGUAUUUUGAAAUAGUUUUUUUUUUUUUUUUUUUGUGAUGUUGAUGUUUAGUCAAAUUUGUGAAUUGUUUCCUCAAACAACCAGGCUGUCUUAUAUGGUCUCUAACCUGAGUGGCCAUAGAGAACUGGAAGAUGCAUUCUGCAAAUAGAGAUGGGAUCAAAGUAUAAAAGCAGACUCUGAAGGCAGUAUAAAAAUGCAAAAUUUCAUUACUGUUUUAUAGUGAUUUUAUGUUGAAGAAUAUUUUGGGUAUAGUGGCUCAAAUAAAUGUGUUAUUAAAAUUAAAACAGUUUCUUUUUACAUUUUAAUAUGGCUACUAGAAAUUUAAUUACUUAUGACUUAUGAGUCUCAUAUUUCCGCUAUUAUAGAGGGCAGAUCUUAAGAUCCAAAAAGAAGUUAGGAUGAGUUGAACUCUGUGUCAACUUCAGAAAAAUACUUUCAAUAGGUUUCCCCAAAAUUAAUUGGCUCAUUUUAAGGAUUCAUUUAUCCAUUCAUGUACCCACUAACAACAACAAAAAAGCACGUUUCUAAUGUGUUCCAGAGGAGAUUAAGUGGGCAGGCAAACUAUCUCAGUGCUCGAUGGAUGGGAUUUAGGUAUUUUCUAAGUUCACUUGAGAUUGAACUGGGUUCUCCCCUCUUCCUUCAUCUUCUUAUGGUAACCUGUGAUGUACAGGUUGUCCUGUUCUGUCAUCCACCUGACAGGCUUUAAAACUGUGUGCAAAACAAUUCUCUCCUAAAAGGCACCUUGGGUUGUCCCGGGCUCUAAAGAUUGCUACUGGAAGAUGCCCUUUCCUUUGUUACUGCAGGCAGCACUGCCCGUGGAGGCUCAAGAGGAUCACUCACUGUGGUGGUGGUCCACGCAGUUCUCCGUGUACUGAGGUGUAGCACUUAACUUAUGUUGGUUAUCUAUCUAAGCUGAGACUUUCCUAGAAUGUGCCAUUCUGCAUCCACUGUGCUCAUAAUGUCUAACUCAGUGCCUGUGGCGAACCAUUAAACUUCAUGGGAACAGUUCUGAUAGAUCAUAUCCUAUCCCAGAAUACUUGAUCUAUCCCACCCCCCUUUGAAAUUAUUUAAAAUUUCAGCAGUGAUGGAUAACUGAAAACCAUUACAGGAGUUUGUUUGAUGACAUGCCCGUGUAAUGGAGACAAAUUCUUCCUGGAGGUUGACAAUUUAUCCCAAAGAGAAGUUAAAAGGCAAAUAGAUUGUUAGCUCAGGGACACCGGAAAGAUGGGGUGUUCCUAGUGGUGGACGUUGAACCUGGGUGCUUCCUGCCAGCCUGUUGACCUUGAUUGGAAGAAAAUGUGACACUCAGGAGUGCGUUCUUCCUACAUUUCAUCAAAUCCAUCAAAUUGCUAAGUAUGCUAUAAAUGCAGAUUUAUUUAAAGUGUGACUAGUCCAGAAAGGCAGCUUAUUGUAUGAUGAUCCAUUCAUAAGUUGUUCAUCUGUCUGAGACAGAUUUUAAAACAUUCCACUAUAAUGUAACUAUUGGCGUUAUUGCUUCUGUUACUAUUUUUCUAUUCCCUGACGUGAUAGAUAGUAUAAAGCAAG